ACAGGGGAUGAUAGAGAGUUGAAAUAUCCCAUAAUUACUCAUCAACUGUAUUCUAAAUCUUACACACAUUUUAGUAUCUGAAGGAAAAAAGUAUCACCACAAUCACCAACAUGAUUACUGAGGACAGUUUACAAACUUUUUGUUCAUUCUCUCCCUGUUUGUUACCCAUAUUUUCUAGUUGUACCAUAUAUAUUGUUGGACCAUUAAUAGUGUACUGUCUCCUGUUUCACUCCCUAUCAUCCUGGUUCUGAGUAAUUAUAUGGUUAAUGCCCACUACUGAUCCUAUUAAUGAUGUUGUAGUUAUCUUGACGGUCUGAACCACAGGAAGUAUUCAUGGGAAUGUAUUCUCUCAGUCUUUGCAUGUUGGCAAUAGCUUCUCUGUAUAAUUUAAUACGUGAAAGUCAGUUUUGCUGGGUAUAAAAAUCCUUGGCUCACAUUUUCUUUCUUUGAAUAUCUUAACUAUGUCACUUAAAUUUCUUCUGGCGAGAAAUGUCAUUGACAAAAAGUCUGAUGAUUACCUCAUUUUGUUUUAAUUUGUAAGUCCCCAACUGCUUUUACUAGAUGCCAAAGGCACUUUUCUUUUUAUUUAAAGUUCAAUGACUUUACCAGACCAUGUCUUGGUUUUGGCCAUCCUGUGCAAUAUUCUCAGGUACAACAUGUGCUUUUUCAAUAUUGUAAUACAAUUUUUUUAUUUCAGCUAAAACAUUAUUUGAAUGUAAAUAUUAAUUCUGCUUUGUUUUGAUUUUCCCCUUCAGGGACUCCUAUUAUCCAUAUGUCAGAUCUUCAGUAUUUUCAGUUUCUCCCUAAUACUUUAACCCCUUUUUAAAUUUCCUUCCAGUUUACUUUUCCCUCCUUUUCCUGUUCUAUUUUUGUAAAGGUGUUUUGUGUGCAUUCAUUCGUUCUUAUAUUCUUUAAACUCUGAGAAGAGUUCUUAUGUUCUGUGUAGUUUUGUCUUCACACAGCCCAGUCACAUGGCAUGCAUGUGCACACACACACUCAUGCACACACUCACACUCUCACACACACACUCACACACGCACACACUCACACUCACACACACUCUCACACACACACUCACACUGAGCCAAGCAAACCACUGAGGUGUUACUGCCCAUACGCCUCCCCACCUUUCCCCAUGGCUGGCACAUAUGCCUUAAUGGGAACAUGAAGUCCAUCCCUUACCCACAUGACCAGCCCCUCCACUUACACAACACACACACACACACACGA
rnacentral:lncRNA from 13 species